UCUGCUCCUUCGUGGAGAACAAGACCCCGGCCAAGAACAGAACUCCAGACUUCCUGAGGUAUAACCGCAAGGCCUUGAGCCACAUCUACCCCAAGGGCCAACGUGUGGACUCAUCCAACUACGACCCUUACCCUCUGUGGACCUGCGGCUGCCACAUGGUGGCGCUCAACUUUCAGAUUGCAGAUAAAUACUCAACUCAACAGUGCCCUCUUCAGUCCACAUACAGGCAACAGACAGAAAUGUUGUGCUCUGACAGCUAUGAUCCACAGCUGGAGAAGAGGAAAGUCAAGUUCACCCUUACUGUCAGAGUGCUAGCAGCCAGACACCUGCCGAAGCCAGGCCGUAGCAUCGCCUUUUUGUAGAGACGGAGCGGUGUGAACACACAGAGGACAACAAGUUUAAGACCGUUCUCUCUCGUAAGGAGUGGGAGCAGGGGUUUGAGUGGAUGGAAUUACUUUCCAGCUAAUUAAAGAAACUCAGCUUCUGUGUGUUGUUUCAAAGAGGAUUGUGCAUUUAUUUAUGUUGGUAACUGGACUUGUUUCGGUGACAAUGGGCUGAACCCAGUGUGGAAGGCCCCUCCAGAGCCAGUGACUUUCCUAGUGCAUGAGCCAGAGCUCGCCUUCCUGCACUUCGUGGUGAAUGAGGAGGACAUGUUCUCAGACCCAAACUUCCUGGCUCAGGCUA